rnacentral:lncRNA from 1 species
UAUCAUCCAACUGAAAGAUUCUCACUGACAAGUAAUUCUUGAAAGUUUUGGCAAAUUUUGGUGUCCAAAGAAAAGCUGAGAAGUGAAAACCAAGUUGAAACAACAACUACGGCAGAAAUUCAAGUAACCAAACCAACAUUAUACCCAAUUAUGUUUUUGGUUUUCUUGGCAAGUACAAGGAUGCAUAGAGAUUUUUAUCAAAUCGAGCACUAGAUGAACCAUGUGCCAAGAUACCCAGGUCUAGAACUUUAACUUUCUUUCUUACUGCAAAGUAAAUCCAUGAAUCAAUAUUAUUAGCAAACUUGGGUUCCUUACACCAUGCCUUAAAUAACCAUCCUAGUGACUAUUUUUCUUUAUUAAAGUCAGCUCAUAUACAAUUCUAAUAAAACUCUGCAACAAGCCAACAAGAUCAUGAUUUUUUGUCCCUCCAAUCUAAGCUAAAUUGGGUAGAACACCAAUAUGCUAAGACCUACUUUUUCACUUAUCCACCUCCUUGUCCUUAAAACAACCGGAGUCUUAUAUGGGUAUUAUUUUAAAAGAAAAAAAAACUUGAGUAACACAA